rnacentral:rRNA from 1 species
AUUGAACGCUGGCGGCAGGCCUAACACAUGCAAGUCGAGCGGAUGAAGGGAGCUUGCUCCUGGAUUCAGCGGCGGACGGGUGAGUAAUGCCUAGGAAUCUGCCUGGUAGUGGGGGAUAACGUCCGGAAACGGGCGCUAAUACCGCAUACGUCCUGAGGGAGAAAGUGGGGGAUCUUCGGACCUCACGCUACCAGAUGAGCCUAAGUCGGAUUAGCUAGUUGGUGGGGUAAAGGCCUACCAAGGCGACGAUCCGUAACUGGUCUGAGAGGAUGAUCAGUCACACUGGAACUGCGACACGGUCCAGACUCCUACGGGAGGCAGCAGUGGGGAAUAUUGGACAAUGGGCGAAAGCCUGAUCCAGCCAUGCCGCGUGUGUGAAGAAGGUCUUCGGAUUGUAAAGCACUUUAAGUUGGGAGGAAGGGCAGUAAGUUAAUACCUUGCUGUUUUGACGUUACCAACAGAAUAAGCACCGGCUAACUUCGUG